UGAUUUGUAAAUUUUAUAAUGUUGUUUUAUUAAAUCAGACAGUAUUUUUAAUAAAGUGCCUACAGAGUUUUUGAAAAUUUUAAUAUUUUACAAGAGAACUAUGAGUCAUUUUUGCUGGUGCUAUGUUAGGCUUACACUGUCGUUUCACUGUGUAUAAAACGUUAUCUUUUAUUGGACGACUUUUAAAUGUUAUUGCUGGUAAUUCCAUCCACUUUGUAUAGAGUAACAUAUUAAUCCUUUAUUAAAUAUAUUAUAAUGGUUUUCUUUUUGAACCAAUUAUUUUUGGUCUUUGAUGGUGGUUUUUUUUUUAAAGAUUAAAUUACUCUGUUAAUUUGAUUCGUAGAAAUCCUCAUUUUUGAUGAAAGGCAAUACAUAUGUUUUAAAACAUUACAUGUACCUGGUAACCAAUAAAGUUAAGAUAUAUUU
rnacentral:sRNA from 1 species